ACCUAGCCCCCAAAGCAGCGUAGAUCUCACAAGAAGAAAAAUGAGGGGAAAGUUUGGAAAGAAGCCCCGUUGAGGCCUUCCUCACACUAGUGCGGGCUUCCAGCCACAUGCUUGAGCGGUGGUGAAGAGGUGAAGUGAUGAGGACAUCAUCAUGCUGGACACACACGAGUCAUGGUCUUUCCCAAGUUACAAUUCGUCACCAACUCGAUCGUCGCGUUCGUUUCGGAUUCAACCAACACUCCUGCACGGUUUCGG
rnacentral:lncRNA from 1 species